UACGAGUGCUCCAAGCGUUAUCCGGAAUUAUUGGGCGUAAAGGGUGUGUAGGUUGUCAUAUUAGUCUUUUGUUAAAUUCUUCGGCUUAACCGGGGGCAUGCAAAGGAAACGGUAUGACUAGAGGAUGCGAGAGGUGAAUGGAACUCAUGGAAUAGGGGUGAAAUCCGUUGAUAUCAUGGGGAACACCAAAAGCGAAGGCAAUUCACUGGCGCACUCCUGACGCUGAAACACGAAAGCGUAGGUAGCGAAUGGG
rnacentral:rRNA from 1 species